CCUACGGUGGGCAGCAGUCGAGAAUCAUUCACAAUGGGGGAAACGCUGAUGGUUCGACGCCGCGUGGGGAAUGAAGGUCUUCGGAUUGUAAACCCCUGUCAUGUGGGAGCCAAUUAAAAAGAUAGUACCACAAGAGGAAGAGACGGCCAACUCGGUGCCAGCCGCCGCGGUAAUACAGAGGUCUCAAGCGUUGUUCGGAAUCACUGGGCGUAAAGCGUGCGUAGGCUGUUUCGUAAGUCGUGUGUGAAAGGCGCGGGCUCAACCCGCGGACGGAACAUGAUACUGCGAGACUAGAGUAAUGGAGGGGGAACCGGAAUUCUCGGUGUAGCAGGGAAAUGCGUAGAUAUCGAGAGGAACACUCGUGGCGAAGGCGGGUUCCUGGACAUUAACUGACGCUGAGGCACGAAGGCCAGGGGAGCGAAAGGGAUUAGAUACCCGGGUAGUC
rnacentral:rRNA from 1 species